GAGCCAGAUUUUCUCUGUGCUCUUGAGUUUUUUACUCAUUUAAGAAACAUUGGGCCACGGCUUUGUACAUAGCACUGUGCUAGGCUCUGGGAUCCCAAAUGAACCCCUUUAACUUUGUGAAGAUGCAGCAGACCCCUGGCAGAAAGUCAUCCGUGCCUAAUCCAUCGAGAAGAAGAGGCUUGUCCAGAAAUUGGCCUCUGAUGCUCAUCCCUGCCCCCAAAUAGCGCACAAGCUUGUUGAGCUCAGCUAGAACAGAUGUUUAGAUUCUGUAGAUGUUAAAAGCUUUCCUGAAAGUAUUCCAUUCCGCAGUGUUGAUAGAUGUUCACUUUCCUCUGGAACUGAUUACUGACAUUCCUUGGCUUUCUCAUCCAGAAAUUAUGGAAACAGGGUCUGUCAGUGGCAGGAGGCUGGGCUGUGUCCUACGUGAAUGACACAUGCAAUUUCCUUGCCUCUUUACACCCAUGCAUGCUACCCACCCUACACAGUGACAUAUAAGCAGUAUAGAUCAGUGUCCGCAUAUAUACACAACACACACACAAGGCAUAACGAGGAACACUGAGACAGUGUUGACUCUUGUCUCAGAAGACAAUUAAACAUUUUUUCCAACUAAAGAGUGGAUGUAAUUAAACUAUGUAUUGAAAAAAAAAAUAGCCUAAGUGUUUAGAGAUGGUGACUAUAUCCAGUUGUAGUAACAGAACCAAUUUCCUGAAUUUUAAGCAUUCAGUGAGUGAGCUGCCAAUUUUGAUUUCGUGUUGCUCUUUACCCAAAGGCCUUUUUUUUUUUUUUUCUUUUUUGGAGGAGGGGGCAAAAAGCAGCAAUACUGUGUUUGAAAAUGAUACUCUGUAUCUGGCUCUCCUGUGUAUGUUAACCACUUCAAUGUUAUUAUCCUGCUUCAGUUUUAUAGUGAUUGUGAGGCAUUCGAUGCAAGUAUACAGUUAUUUUCUCAUUAAAAUCCAGUGUGUGUUGUGCUUUUAUAAAUGAGGGCCACUUGUUUGACUGUUGGGGGAGGUUGGAGGACCGAGCAGCCCAAGGGGGGCACGCCAGCGCUCUCUCCUGUAAUUCCAUGGGGCGAAGUCUGCUUCUUGCAUAUUUGGAACCAAGAAAGCAGGACUAGCUGGCAGGGCAGACCUUUCACAGGCUGUUCCCAGUGCCUCCUUUGGCCAUGUGGUCUCCAGCUGCCAUGGCUAGACCUGGAAACUCCGACAGGACCCACAGAAAUGAUACACAUGCCUCUUGAGGUGGGUAGACUCCAAGGUCAAAGGGAUGGUGGGGCAAACGGUAGGACAAACAGUAAAGCCCAAACUUUGCACGUGGCUCUUAGGCUCUAAUUUUCAUUAUUCAUUCCAUUCCCAGCACCUGUAUUUGGCUCUCCUCUGAGGAAUAGAGAAUUUCGGACUUCACAGAGCAUCUGAGACCACAGGACUUCUUCCAAUCUUCCCUCACCCCACACCUCCCAGGCUUUCCACCCGUAUUCUCCUGUUCUUCCACGUGGCAUCAUCUUGCAACCUCUCUCUGGAGAUGGUGGGAGAAGAUGACCGAGGCAUCCCUGUUGCCGAAAAGGAACCAGAAGCGACUGCAAAUGGGGUGAUGAAAACGUGCUAAAAUUGAAUUAUGAUGACAGUUGCACAACUUCACAUUUACUGAAAAUCACUGAAUUGUACACUUGGAAAUGAGUACAUUUUAUGGUAUGUAAAUCGUACCACAGUGAAAGCUGUAGUGAAACACAAAGGGAUGAGGGAAUCAAGGAACCAGAAGCAGAGUCCAGGGAAAGGAAUCAAGGAGGCCACACAGCCUCAGGUUGAAAGGAAUGAGAGGAGUCAUUCAGGCCAAUAUUUGGCCACCAGCUAAUCAGGAAGAAAGCUUGCUGUCCUAG